rnacentral:lncRNA from 1 species
UACAAACUCCUUUAAAAUGGCUUCAUUUAUGAUUAUGAAAUGAACAAAUAAGAUAACAUCAUAGAAAAAGUUGUGGGGUCCGAUUCUAUUAUUAUAUUAAUAGAAUGCAUGACUGAAGCAUUUGAUGUCUAGAUACAUUGUCAAUUUUAGUCUCAUCUCCAAUCGAUCAAUUUGAUAAUUGUUCAACUUUAGUUGGUUCUCACUCUCUUAGAAUCGGUUCAAGCUAUAGAUUGAAUAGAGUUGAACCGCGGUUGGUUCAAUUUCAAUCUGCCCAUUCGUUCAAUUGGAACCGGGUCUCUUAGAACCAAAUCAAACUAGUUUUAAUCGAGCUCAGCCGUGGCCGGUUCAAUCAAUUCAUUUUUUUAGGUUUCAUUUGAAAAGCUAAAAAUCAACACUGGUUUAUUUAUUUGUUAGGCAUCAAGUGCUUAUUUAUUUGUUAGACAUCAAGUUCAAUCCAUUGAUUCAUAACUCAAAGUCCUGACUUAUUUGAUCUCCAACUUGAUUGCUUAAUGCAUAUAACAAAUGUUGUUAAAAUAUCACCUCAAACUAUCUUGUCCAAACAAUUGAUGUAAAGUUUUUCCAAGAUACCACAAUUCAUUUUAUAGGGUUAAAUAUGUUUUUGGUCUUUAUAAAUAUGUUAACUUUUUGUUUUAGUCCCUCUAAAAUUUUCCUUCAACUUUUAAUCCCUAUAAAACUUUCAAUUACUACUUUUGGUCCCUAUUUUUAAUUUAAUUUUUGUAUUUUUUAAUGAAAUUGUAAAGAAAUGUGUAAAAUAUUCUAAAAAAAUUCCUAAAAAAAAUUAAAUUUUUUUAACAAAACAC